AUCGCUUCUUGGCCUUUUGGCUAAGAUCAAGUGUAAUCACCAUACAUUACAUCAUUAGUUUUUGAUGUAGUGUUCCAUGAUUCCUUGUUUGCGUAUAACACCCAGUGUUCCAUUCAAUACUUGCCCUC
rnacentral:snRNA from 1 species